UACAGAGGUCUCGAGCGUUGUUCGGAUUCAUUGGGCGUAAAGGGUGCGUAGGUGGCGCUGUAAGUCGGAUGUGAAAUCUCCAGGCUCAACCUGGAGGGGUCAUUCGAUACUGCCGUGACUAGAGUUCGGUAGGGGAGUGUGGAAUUCCUGGUGUAGCGGUGAAAUGCGCAGAUAUCAGGAGGAACACCCGUGGCGAAGGCGAGUCUCUGGGCACUGAUCCUGACU
rnacentral:rRNA from 1 species